rnacentral:misc_RNA from 1 species
GAAUAACCAUGUGAAGUUAUGCCAUAAUUCCAUUUGAUGGUUUCUUUAUGGGCAUUUAAUUCAAGUGGUUUGGGCUAUCAGGAUGUGAAAUGAAGGCAGCUUCCCUGUCAACACUCCUCCAUGAAGAAUCUUCAUGAACAAUAAAUUAUUGUGAACUUCUGUACAAGUUCACUUGAGUCUCUUCUCCUCAUGACCAUCUCUCCUGACAAAAUAUGUGAUUCCUCAGAAACCUUAUGCCCUGAGGUGGAAGCACUUUUGACUACUUCAUUUAGUCAAAAAGUGGUUGCAGAGCCACACACAUGCCAGCAUGUAUGCCAAUAACUGUAAUGGGGAUGCUGGGAAAGUUCCUGGCUACAUGCAUCCCAGCAAUGCAAUAAACAUGAACAAUGGGCCUCCAAUGAAUAUGGCCUCAAGUAAUGAGGCAUCACUUAUGCCACCUACCAGUACAAUGAACAUGCUUCCUGUGAAUGCAAUGAGCAUGGCUGGUAACAAUCCAGGGAACGUGGCUUCUGGCAAUACAGGCAUGAUGCAAAAUAGUGGCAUGAAUAUUAUGCACAAUAAUGGUAUGAAUAUGAAUGUCUCUGCAAACAUGCAAAUGCCCAAUGGUGGAGUAAAUAUGAUGCCUGGUAGUGUAAUGAAUGUGGCUCCAAAUAAUGUUAAUCAUUCCAUGAAUAUGGGUCCAAAUAGUAUGAACAUGAUGCCCAAUCAUGCAAUGAAUAUGAUGCCGAAUAACACCAUGAAUAUGAUGCCUGGAAGCCCCAUGAAUAUGCCACCAAACAAUGUGAACAUGGUACCCAACAAUGCUAUGAACAUGAUGGCCAAUGGUGUGCCUAACAUGGCUGCAAAUGCUGCUAUGAGUAUGGCUUCCAAUGGCCAAAUGAACAUGGGACCUAAUGCUCCCAUGAAUAUGAUGCCCGGCAACGCCAUGUACAUGAUGCCCAAUAAUGUUGGUAGUUUGUCAAAUAAUGCAAUGAGCAUGAUGGGUUCCCACUCCAUGAACAGACCUGUCAAGAAGUGUGUCAGCAUGACCCAGUAUCAUGCAGCAAGUAUGGGAUCCAACAUCCCUGCCAACAACCAUGGCCCAAACGCUGCUAAUGUAUCACCAAGUGCAAUAAAUUUUCAUUCUAAUAAUUCUGCAUGCAUCAAUAGUGGUAUAAAUGUGGUGUCAAAGAAUGCAUUGAACCAGUCUUCUAGCAGUGUUAUGAACGUGACUCCCAGUGUCGGCACAAGUGUGCCUUCCAGCAACAGUAUGAAUAUUCCCGGCCAGACGGCAGCCAAUGGCAUGAACAGUAGUAGUAUGAGCAUGACGGGGCAUGGUGGUGUGAAUAUGCCUGGUAUUAACGGCAUGAAUGUCCAAUGCAACAGUGGCAUGAACAUGCCAAACCAUAAUGGCAUGAACACGCCAAGCCACAAUGGUAUGACCUUGCCCAACAACAAUAGUGUAAACAUGCUUAACAGCAAUGGCAUGAUCAUGCAUAACAAUAGCAUGAACAUGUCCAACACUAAUGGAAUGAUCAUGCCUAGCAACAGUGGCAUGAAUAUGCCUAACACUAAUGGCAUGAAUAUGACCACCAACAAUGGGAUGAACAUGAUAAACAACAAUGGCAUGAAUAUACCCAGCAACAGUGUCAUGAACAUGCCUAGCAACAAUGGCAUGAACAUGCCAAGCAACAAUGGCAUGAACAUGCCCAGCAACAAUGGCAUGAAUAUGAUGAGUAACAACGGAAUGAACAUGAUGAGCAACAAUGGAUUGAAUAUGAUGACCCAUAAUGGCAUGAAUAUGCCUAACAACAAUGACAUUAGUCUCUCCAGCAACAAUGGCAUGAAUAUGCUAAGCAAUAAUGGGAUGAAUAUGCCAGGUAAUGGUGGCAUGAACAUGUCUGCCAGCGGUGGUGUGGGCUUGUGUCACGCACGAAUGAUGUGCGGGCCACGUCUGCCAGGACCUAUGGUGGGUGCCAGUGGACUGGGAAGCAUGGGCUGUGUGGGCUCACUUGGUGAUGGAAGCUGCUCUGCAUACGGUGGGCCAGUGAUGUCACCACCAGCCUUGAGGGCACCCGGGGCCAUUGCUGGUACGGGCUGUUCCCCAGCAGGUGCACCUCUCAUGCACUGCAUGGAUGGUCGCUCAAUGCACUACAAAAGUAACGGCGUCAUGAUGUCGAGAGAUGCAUACAUGGAUGUCUGUGGUGCUAACAAUUGUGGACAGUCCAACCAACACUACUGCCAGCAGCCCAUGGGCUACCAGCAUCAUAUGGGACAUUAUGCUCACCACAAGACUACACCUCAGCAGUUCAUGUGUCACCAGCAACACAUGCAGCAUCCUAAUGCUUUCAUGUGCAAUUCUAUGAUUACUCCUGCCAGGCCUCAGAUGAAUGUUUCCAAGGCAAUGUAUGUUAAUGGAGGAGGUAAUUCUCUGAGCCAGGCGUGUAUGACAUCUGUCGCCAAUUCGUCUCAACAAUUUAAUAAUUAUGGCAGCAUAGGCAACAAAGGAGUAGUGUGUAGUAGCGAGAAACCAGGCUGUGGGACAGAGGCGCAAACUGCAAGUGAAGAGAGCCCACGUUGUGAUAGCGCUUGCUCAUCUUCCAGUGACAAUGCCAACGUGAAUCGCACUUCUGAUGUUCAGCUGCCUCAUUCAGAUCAUCCUGUGGCGACAGCAAUACCUCGUGCUGCAGUACAGAUUGGGCCAGCAAAACGCCCAACGCGAGAUCAACCAAUGAAGUCCGACCAAGAAAUUUCUCCAAAUCAAGAAUUAGCCUCUAAUUACAGUAUGCCUUCUGUUUCUAUUUCCUCUGAUUCGAGUAAUAUUAAAAAUAGCACUUCCCCACAGCCUGCACUCAUUGGAACAAGAACAAACAUUGACACAGAUCAGUUAACUGCUCGUGAUGACUGUUCUUCUGGUUUAAGCCAUUCAAAUUUCAACGGUCCUCGCCAAGCUUGUGGGAUUCCUGGUACUGGGACUGCAACUAAGCCAAACAUGGCUGUCGAGAGUUCCAUUAAUAGUGAUAAUAAUGCUUUUUUGUCCUUGAAUUCGGCACAAGGAAAUAACGGCCCAACUAGCUCAAAACUAUCCUCUCAAAAUGAGCUAAAAAGUUCUUCGUCAGUGUGGCCUUCUCCCAGCAGAUCUUCCAGUUUUGAGCAAAGGCAGCCAGUUAAUGAAUGUGAGAAGGUGCCUCAGCAAAAAGAGCUACCUGGCAUCUCUACUCCUGUGCCUCACAGUAUUACUCCAAGUCCUUCAAUUGAUGCCGAUAAACCAAAUUUCACGAACAAUUAUAGCUCGGAAAACGAAACCAAUAAAGUGGGAUAUGACGGUGCAUCUGUUGACAGUGGCGUCGAUUCAAGUGUGCGGUCUGGUAGCAGUGACAGCGUGCAGCUCAUGUCAGGAAGGUCAUCAACACCUAAUGCAUCUCACAUGAUGGUCGAAAGCCCCAAUGCGUGUAAAAUUUUAUCUACAUCUAGUCAAGUGAAUGUUGUGCCUUCAAAGGAGUGUCAUGUCAGUUUUGCAAAUACUCAAAGCUUCUCUAGUUCAAAUCCUAAUCUAGCUGGAGAUGAAAUAACUCCCACCGCCUACUCAGUAGCUCCUACAAACAACUCUCUGAUGCACUCCACACCAAGUCAUCCUGGAGCACUUCUCGUGGUCGUGCCCUUUGGCUGGAGGCGGAUUAUCUCAGCUAAUCGCGUUGUCUAUGUCAGUCCAAGUGGAAAUGAACUAAGCUCAGCACUUGCAGUAUCACAAUACCUGACUACUGAAGGCACAUGCAAGUGUGGGCUGCAGUGUCCUUUGAAGGUGGCCAGCGUCUUCUGUUUUGACCCAAACGUACCUGACCGGCCCACACUUCCGGCUGAGCUGAACAAUAAAGACGUGCUACAGUCGUGUACUCAUCGCCGCAAGCUGGCAGAUGCCUUCACCAAGCAUAUGACUGCCACCCGACAGCAGCACCUAGGGCUACAGUCGCGCCCCUGUCAUGAAGCUGUGUGUCAUUACAACCACAUGUCUCCUGCUGGCCCUCACACACAGCUCAUUCCUCAUGCUGGGUACCCACCACAUGCAACUCCUCCUCUUCAUCACCAAAUGUCCGCUAACUCUUGUCUUCCUCACCACCACCAACUCCCUCAACCAGCCGCCAGUCACAAGCAAACCGACCCCUGCCCGAAGACUGAACCUGGACCAGCCAGUUGUGACAGCUCCAGUGAUGCCACUCUGACGCAGGCCAUUCAGCCCAAGACUGGUGGUGUCACGCCGACCCACACACAUUCCUCUUCGCAUGGGAAUAGUUCUGCACCGCCCCCUGGCUGCUCAUCCAGCACAGUGUCACCGGGUAGCCUGAGAACAAGCGGCGCCCUCGCAACCAUCGCCAAGUCUCCUGGAGUGUUGAGCUCUACCGCCGUAGUCACGAGCUCCUCUACUGUUACUUUCCCGGCAACAGCUUCCCUCAGCAGUUCUGUGUUGCCUGCUCAAAGUGCCUCAGGAACUGCAUCUAAAACUAUAUCAAUUUCGCCAUCGCCAACAACUGCAUCCGUUUUUUCCAGCUUGCCUUCAAAAAACCCUUUGAAAAAUUCUUUGGCCGUAGCUAGUUCUUCAACGGGAUUUACUGCCAUAGCUGGCACUUCCAUGUGUAUUGCCAUUAAGAAUACCUCUUCCAAUUCUGCUAUCUCGGCUGCUGCGCCUCACUUGCCUAAAUCUAAUCCGUCCUCGUUGAACGUCCCGGUUUCAAAACCAGCCAAUUCAUCAACAAUUGCUUGCAGUUCUAUUCCAAAUCCCGUUAUAUCCGAGAUAUCUAUAAGAAAUAUGGGCACCAAUAAUAGCUUAUCCCCUAAAAAAUUCGCCAGUUGCGCCGCCGAUAUUGUGCUAUCCGCGUCACAAGCAUACGCGACGUCAUCUUCUAUCCUAGUAACAUCGUCGCCGGCGUGCAGCGUGUCGCUUGUGUCAUCCGUGGCUGGUACUGCACCAGUCGUGUCAUGCUCAGCGUCAGCAGCCGAGCCUAUUACUGCUGCUGGUCCGGCUCGAGGACCUGCUAAUGCAGCCGCUAGGUCUGUGUCCUUGGCUGACAAUAAAAAGGGUAACGACGCCGGGUUUGGUUCAAAUGACGCAGUUUGUCCUACUAUUAGCCAUCAGCGGCAGCAACAGUUUAUGCAAAUGGGGCAUCAGAAGCAAAUGAGAAUGAUGAUGCAACCUUCACCAGAGCCUCAAAUGAUGAUGCAGCCUCAAGAAAUGAUCCAUCAUCAGGCUUUCCCAAUUCAGCAGCAAAUGAUGCUCCAAAGUCCGCAUUUUGAACAACGAGGCUUUGCAGCGCAACAUCAAAUGCAGGACCCAUGUCGACCGGGCUUUAUGCGAGGUGGCAUGAUGCAGCCCAUGGUGCCACGCGGCGCAAUGAUGCGAGGUCCUUUCCCGGCCCCGGCAGGAGGGUACCGAAUGCCUAUGGGGCCGCGUAUGGGUUCUCAAUGGCCACCCGAAGAUGACAAGUCUGGAGGCAUCAAGCGACGCCGUGGGGGUGGAGCUGCAAUAAGCAGGGCAAGAAAACGUCCCAAGGUUGCUGACGAAGGAUCUCCUAUUGUUGUGCCUUCCUUCUUGGAGGAUCCAAAUGCUUACCUUGCCCAGCAGACCGCAAUGCUGAACAGCACAAUGGCCGGUGGGCCAGGUCAGUUUUCCCCUCAAGGAUCGGUGGCUUUUCCUAGGCAGACUUGCCCAGUGGAACUCAAGUCAGAUGGUCCCGUGGUAAAUUUGUCAGCAUCUGGCGCUCUAGGGUCUCCGCCGAGUGCCAUGACUCAGAACUGCUCUACAGAUUUGCUCAAUAACUCUUUACAGACAAUCUCAUCGAAGAAUUCCAUUCCCAUCCCUCCAUCCUCUACUAAGCCCAAUAAUACGCUUUUGCCCACUUCAUCUUGUGGUUCAACAACUUUAGGACGAUCCCCCAGUGUUCCUUGUACACUACCAAAUGGCUUGUUGCAGCUCAAGUCUGAAGGAAACGUUUCACUCAGAAAUUCUGAGACAGCAAAAAGUAGCUCAAUAUCAGCAUUGCCGUCCAUGGCCGAAAGCAUAACUAUCACAGCAAUAUGUUCUUCCACGCCGACGCCGAAGAUGUCGUCCUUGCCUGCCAGACCUAAAUCGUCUUCCCCGCGUGUAAGUGAACGAGGCUACUUAUCUGUGAUACCUUCUCGGCCAGAGUCAGAAAAUAGUGUUAAACAGGAGGGAAAUGAUAGUAGUGUCAACCAAUCCGAUAAAAAGCCAAAGUGGGCACUGCCCGAGUCAAGCUCCGCUUCCUCCGAGCUUCGCGUUCCUGACCUCAAAUCUCAGUGUGAUCUUGUUUCCAGUGGUGCAGGCGCUCACAAUUCUCCGCCAGAAAAUGUACAUCAUAACCGUCCUGAUGGGAAUACCCAGUCAAGUUUCACCCAAAAUCCUGGCCAUAAGACAUUUUCUAAAGCGGAGACUUCUCAACCAAAUGGUGAAAUGGCGUUUACGCGAUCUUCAGCUAGGCUUGAGACAAGUGGUGUUAGUGAUGACGUCACUAGUACUAGGAAAACUUUUAGUCCUAAAGCCACUAAUAUUCCUGACAAAUCUAAUGAAGGAGUUAAAGCGUGCAUCAGUUUUGACAGCUCUCAUUCUACAUCAGAUUGUAAGACUCAGCAGUGGCGGAGCAACGUUGGCUCAACUGGCCAAGCCUCUCAGGCUCUAGGCACAGAGAUGCUCGCCAUAAGGAGUCGGGUGCUGCGGGCAAGUCCCACGAGUAACUUUGAUGUGGAUAAGGAUGACACACAAGACACGGACUGUGGCGACGAUGAUGCCAGCAACGAUACAACUUCCGAUCCUGAUGAUGGCUGCUCCAAUAGCGCAGAAGCACUUUCAGCAUCAUCUCUGGCUACCCUGAAGAAUCAGGCUACUAAACCAAAUAAUCAUACAAGUAUCGACCCUGAUGUGCUAAAUACACCAUUGCGCGGUCGUCUUGCAACUAGACACAGUUCUUUUAUAAGCAAUGCUCAUGAGAGCGAUAGUAGCAAUAAACCACUCAGCCCAGGACCUAUUAGCAGUACAUGUUCGCAGACGCCAUUGGAAAUGGUUCAAAACAUUGUGAGCAGCAUUCCUUUACCUCCUGUCUCCCACGUGUGCUCCAGUGCUUCUUCUUUCCCAUCGGAUGGCGUGUCGUGUAGCUUACCAUCUUCUGCAUCUGUAACUGCUUCCACAGCUCGCCACACACCUCCAUUCCUGCCACAAGCAGUAGGGGGCUCGCAGCAAAGCACUCUAGCGACAUCGUUACACCACCGCAUUUACGACGGUGUUGUAAGAAGUGGCAUUCUUGUUCAGCAGCCGACAGUGGCAGUAAGUAGCAGCAGUGUUGUGGUGGUCAGCGGCCCUAAACACGCUUCUCAUGUGGCUUCACUGAGUGCUCUCCAGCCUGUUCAACCUCUCGUCCAUCUCGUCAACCCCUUCCCGUCAGCCACGCCACUCAUCAUUCAACAAACUGCCGGUAUUGGAGGCCUUGGUAGCAUCAGCGCUAUUUGCAGUAAUGCGCAGAUUUUGCCCACAUCUUGUACGGCUUUCGUUACCACACAGCAAGCCACUCCUGUCUCAUCAGGAACGCGCACUCCUCUGCCUCUGAGCAGCAGCAGCCCACAGCUCCAAGUGGCACACGUGGUCACCACAGAUGGACGUCUUGACAGCACUGGCUCCCCAUCUGGAUCUUCCACAGUUUCCACUCCUCACUCCACUCCUCCAGAUCCUGCACCUUCACCUCAACCGCCGAGAAAGCGCCGUCGUCGUAGGAACAGCUCAUCUUCCCAGGCCCUACCAAACAUUUUGCCAACCCUCAUAGUGAACAGCAGACCGCAGCAGCAGCAGUUAGUUGUCACUGGAUCACAAGCGCGUUUCACUUCUCAAGCAUCGAGCGCUGGCACGCACCAAGUGAUCACAAAUGUCAGUGCUGGCAGUAUGAUUGCUGCAUCUGCACCCACUGCAAUCAAUGUCGUACAGAUGGUGGGGCCGAGCAUGGCAGGCACUCUGACGGCUGGAACGCUUCAGCCUCCCGCUAUAUUGGUGGGUUCUAGUGCUUCGCCUGGCGUCAUACUUCCCUCAGACGCCACCUUCUUGUCAACGGAUCCCAACACGUGCCUCACGUACCCCGUGCAGAUAGUCGGAGUUACUGCAUCUCCUGCUCAACAAAUGGUGGCUGUGAGAUCUCAAGGCGCCUCCACUGAAGGAGGAAAAAUCGUCACGUGUCUAUCUUCUCCGCCAGCUGUGAGCAACAACAGCGGCGGCGUGCAUCUCUAUGCGCAUAACGCCAACCAAGCUGUCAUGAGCGCCCGGAGUCUGGGCGCUCCUGCAGCCGUGCUUGCGCCCGACUACCUGACAUACCAGCAACACGUGUUCAUGCAGCAGCCACUCGUAGCAAAGACGAGCAUUGCAGGCUUGAGUCCCCAAGGCACCGUAAUUUCUGCCGGCCAGCAGCACCUACUAUCAAGCAGCAGUAAUUGCUCUGAUGCUGGCCAUUCAUCAGUAUCCAUUUCAACUCAAACGUUACAGAACGAAUCUGAAAACUGUGACGUUAGCAGCACAGGAGAUUUUCAGCUGUGCCGCGUGUCUUGUGCUUCAUCGGUGUCGCCCAACUCGCCAUCUCACCAGAGCGCUGAGGUAACCACGACGAGGCUUGAUGAGGAGCCUCAGCGCGUUAGCUCGACUCCUCAUAAACCUCCCUCAGCAUCUGAUUGCCUCUCAAGUUCUGCCACUCCUCCUCAUCAGGCUUCAGGUUGGUGGUGACAGUCCAUUCUCUCGGCAACGAGAGGGGCAUCAUAGCUGCUCUGUCCUGCUCCUGGCCUCGUACGAAGUUGAGUACAGGCGGAAAUAAAGCACGGAAAGCGACCCCCAAGCUUUCGAUUGUCUUCAAAUUCUUUGAACUUCUGAACACGAACCUUCUAACUUUUACCUGUUUCUAAACGUUAUAUUGUAUUCCCGUGAUAAUACCAUGAAUUCAUCUCGUUAUGUGUUAAUUUUAUUUGAUAUUUGCUCCUAAAAUUAUAAAUAGCAUUUUUCAUUUUGUUUGAAAUCAUGUAAGGCUGUUUUGCUACUUGAAAUUGAGACAUGCACGACUGUGGGAUUAUGUCUUUAUAUAGUAUUGAAUAUUUGUGUGAUGAAAUCCUCUGUUCUCGCUCGUUGAGUGUAUGCGCAGGUAGGAGGUUCGGUUUUCUAACUUCUUGUAAGCAGACUCGUACGUUUUUUAGGCUUUUGAUUUCUUUUAUGCCUUCUAUAUAAUAAGGCGUCUUGAAUUAAUAGAUUAGUUUUACGCCUUCAUUUUACAAUGAUCAAAUGAGACAGUCUUGUCCUCUUCCGCCUAGUACGAAGAAAAUAUGGCUUGUACCGUGAAUUUUGUAAUAAGAGUUUACUGUACAAGGAUGUAUUGUCAGACGUUGUGUAUAUUUUUAUGGUUACUCAAUGCAAAGUUAGAUAUUAGUUAUAGUUAGCUGAUAGAACAUUAUUCAAAGGUAUAUUUAUAUUUUCGCUAGACACCGGUCAGUGUUGAUGUACACAAGAAUGGAUAUAAAUCUAGAUUUAUUGUAUUUACUGUACAAAGCGGCCAUUGUUCGGCAUUAAGAUGGGUGCAAUGUCUCCAUAACUUGACGUAGCAUGAUACAGUGUUGUCACGUUGCUCUCUUAUUCAUAAAUGUAUUAAGUCGAAUGAUACGAGCACUUCCUGCACAUGUCCUUACCUCUUUCUUCCAUCCCAGCAUGUCUUGCAUCGUGGCUGCAUUCAACUAGUAAUACAACUGUAAUUAACGUCCCGUCAUUAUUACAACUGCUAUGUUGUAACGUAAGAUGUUACGGCAGCUGGUCAUGUCAUUCAUGUAACAGCUUGUAUUUAUGAGGCGAUGCCUCUUGAUAAUCAUGCAGUCUAGAAAGUUUUCAAGACUCCAGUUAAAUGCCAUAUUUCUUCUCACUUCUUCCCAAUUAUUAGAAAUUUAAUAAUUCUUCAACGUGUGGCAUCUCAUUUACGAUCAAAUGGUGCGGAUGCCAUGUUAUUACCAGUCAUUGGUUUUAUGCUUCUUGAUUAACUUUAUAUAAUUAGUUUGUACUUAUUCCUUUCAUUUUCAAUCAUUUGUAGUACCUGAAGUCAUGUAUAUUCUUUGCACCCUUGUUAAUGUCAAAGUCAAAUAAAAACACGUCUGUUGUGUGUUUGUUAUAUUUGACUUUGUAAACUUUCUGCCCCGAUGGCCUUUGAUACAUUCUAUCCAAUAGAAAAACUGAAGAGGAUAAUCACCUCAAUGGAUUGUUUUUUUUUUUUUCAGCCAAAACAGCUUAUCUGUUUCUGUUCACGAGUCCAGAUAUCAAUGCUUUAAUUCUUUCUUGAACUACUCAGUAGAUAUGAGCAGGUAAUUAUAUUUAGACUUGUUAGUAAGUUCACCUCUCAUGACCUCAUAUUCUUUUGUUUAGGUUUAUUUGAUUGAAUGAACAUUUUAUUGUAAAUAUCCUGCCUCACAUUGCAGUGGAGCUGCGCUUCUGGAAUCUCAGAGCAAUGUAUGUCCUGCUUCGUGAGAGACCUCUGCUUCUUAUGUUGUUCAUCUUCGUCUCGAUGUUACUUUCAAUUUUUUUUCUAUUAUUGAUGCUGAACUGUAAUUGUAUUUACGUUGUCAAAUGAAAUUUUAUUAUGAAA